rnacentral:tRNA from 1 species
GGAGGUAUAGCUCAAGUGGUAGAGCACAUGCUUAGCGUGCAUGAGGUCCUAGGUAAAAUCCUCAGUACUCCCA